rnacentral:rRNA from 1 species
AACGAACGCUGGCGGCAUGCCUAACACAUGCAAGUCGAACGAGACCUUCGGGUCUAGUGGCGCACGGGUGCGUAACGCGUGGGAACCUGCCCUUAGGUUCGGAAUAACUCCCCGAAAGGGGUGCUAAUACCGGAUAAUGUCUUCGGACCAAAGAUUUAUCGCCUUUGGAUGGGCCCGCGUUGGAUUAGCUAGUUGGUAGUGUAAAAGCCUACCAAGGCGACGAUCCAUAGCUGGUCUGAGAGGAUGAUCAGCCACACUGGGACUGAGACACGGCCCAGACUCCUACGGGAAGCAGCAGUGGGGAAUAUUGGACAAUGGGCGAAAGCCUGAUCCAGCAAUGCCGCGUGAGUGAUGAAGGCCUUAGGGUUGUAAAGCUCUUUUACCCGGGAUGAUAAUGACAGUACCGGGAGAAUAAGCUCCGGCUAACUCCGUG